rnacentral:rRNA from 1 species
GUUGGUGAGGUAACGGCUUACCAAGGCGACGAUCUGUAGCGGGUCUGAGAGGAUGAUCCGCCACACUGGAACUGAGACACGGUCCAGACUCCUACGGGAGGCAGCAGUGGGGAAUUUUGGACAAUGGGCGCAAGCCUGAUCCAGCCAUGCCGCGUGAGUGAAGAAGGCCUUCGGGUUGUAAAGCUCUUUCGGCCGGGAAGAAAUCGCAUGGGUUAAUACCCUGUGUGGAUGACGGUACCGGAAUAAGAAGCACCGGCUAACUACGUG